AGAGUUUGAUCCUGGCUCAGGACGAACGCUGGCGGCGUGCCUAACACAUGCAAGUCGAACGGGGUGAUUUCUUCGGAGAUUACUUAGUGGCGAACGGGUGAGUAACGCGUGAGUAACCUGCCUUUCAGUGGGGGACAACAGUUGGAAACGACUGCUAAUACCGCAUAAUGUUUCGAGAGGGCAUCCUUUUGAAACCAAAGAUUUAUUGCUGAAAGAUGGACUCGCGUCUGAUUAGCUAGAUGGCGGGGUAACGGCCCACCAUGGCGACGAUCAGUAGCCGGUCUGAGAGGAUGAACGGCCACAUUGGGACUGAGAUACGGCCCAGACUCCUACGGGAGGCAGCAGUGGGGAAUAUUGGGCAAUGGGGGAAACCCUGACCCAGCAACGCCGCGUGAAGGAAGAAGGCCUUCGGGUUGUAAACUUCUUUUACCAGGGACGAAGAAAAUGACGGUACCUGGAGAAAAAGCAACGGCUAACUACGUGCCAGCAGCCGCGGUAAUACGUAGGUUGCAAGCGUUGUCCGGAUUUACUGGGUGUAAAGGGCGUGUAGGCGGAGAUGCAAGUUGGGAGUGAAAUCCCGGGGCUCAACCCCGGAACUGCUUUCAAAACUGCAUCCCUUGAGUAUCGGAGAGGCAAGCGGAAUUCCUAGUGUAGCGGUGAAAUGCGUAGAUAUUCGGAGGAACACCAGUGGCGAAGGCGGCCUACUGGGCUUUUUACUGACGCUGAGGCUCGAAAGUGUGGGGAGCAAACAGGAUUAGAUACCCUGGUAGUCCACACUGUAAACGAUGAUUGCUAGGUGUGGGGGGGCUGACCCCUUCCGGGCCGGAGUUAACGCAAUAACCAAUCCACCUGGGGAGUACCGCCGCAAGGUUGAAACUCAAAGGAAUGGACGGGGCCCGCCCAAGCAGUGGUUUAUGUGGUUUAUUCGAAGCAACGCGAGAACCUUACCAGGUCUUGACAUCCGACUAACGAGGCAGAGAUGCGUUAGGUGCCCUUCGGGGAAAGUCGAGACAGGUGGUGCAUGGUUGUCGUCAGCUCGUGUCGUGAGAUGUUGGGUUAAGUCCCGCAACGAGCGCAACCCCUGCCAUUAGUUGCUACGCAAGAGCACUCUAAUGGGACCGCUACCGACAAGGUGGAGGAAGGUGGGGACGACGUCAAAUCAUCAUGCCCCUUAUGACCUGGGCUACACACGUAAUACAAUGGCCGUUAACAGCAGGCAGCGAACCCGCGAGGGGGAGCAAAACCUCAAAAACGGUCUCAGUUCGGAUCGCAGGCUGCAACUCGCCUGCGUGAAGUUGGAAUUGCUAGUAAUCGCGGAUCAGCAUGCCGCGGUGAAUACGUUCCCGGGCCUUGCACUCACCGCCCGUCA
rnacentral:rRNA from 1 species